UACGAAGGGGGCUAGCGUUGCUCGGAAUUACUGGGCGUAAAGCGCGUGUAGGUGGAUUGGUGUGUCAGAUGUGAAAGCCCUGGGCUCAACCCAGGAACUGCACCUGAAACUACCAGUCUUGAGUGGUGGAGAGGGAAGUGGAAUUCCUGGUGUAGAGGUGAAAUUCGUAGAUAUCAGGAGGAACACCAGUGGCGAAGGCGGCUUCCUGGACACUAACUGACGCUGAGGCUCGAAAGCGUGGGGAGCAAACAGG
rnacentral:rRNA from 1 species